AUUAUUGACGUCACGUGCGUGGUAAAACAUUCUCAUACUGAUGUACUGAGAAGAUUUUCUAGGAAUCUAGGUGGUUGCAAAUAUUGAAAGAUUAUUUUCAGAAAACUAUACAGACUAUACAAAGAAAAUCAAUGAAAAACUAAAACGGAAAAUUGAUCAAGGUCAUCAAGCUCUCUCGACGAACAACAGACUUGUAGCAUGCUUGUCAACAAGUUGUAACAAUAAUUUUUCUGUGUUGAUGUAAUUGUACUCAGAUGAAUAUGAUGCUUGUGAUGUUACUCUGAGUGUAUAUCCACACCGGGCAAGCUUGAAAAAUGUCACAUACUCGAACCGACCUGACCGCGUAGUAUUCCAAAGAUCGUGGGUUCGAUUCCCACCAUGGCCAGGCAUAUUUUUCAAGCCUGCCCGGUUACGUUUGGAUAUACACUCAGAGAAACACCACAAGCAUCAAGUUGUAACAAUGCUGUUAUUUCAUGUAAAAAGGAGAUGCUUCAUUUUUCGUCGUUGAUCAAGUUGAU